rnacentral:tRNA from 1 species
GGUGGAAUGCCCGAGUGGUUAAGGGGUAUGUCACAAUCAGCAUCACCGCAUCGCAACAGAAAGCUAACUUCGCAAAAGGCGACACUCGAAGACCUGUUCUUUGGCAAUGUCGUGGCUUCGGCCGCGCAGGUUCGAAUCCUGUUUCCAUCG